GGCUUAGAGUUUGAUCAUGGCUCAGGAUGAACGCUGGCGGCGUGCUUAACACAUGCAAGUCGAACGGAGAGCGUAUGACAGAGGAUUCGUCCAAUGGAUUACGUUUCUUAGUGGCGGACGGGUGAGUAACGCGUGAGGAACCUGCCUCGGAGUGGGGAAUAACACAACGAAAGCUGUGCUAAUACCGCAUGAUGCAGCUGGGUCGCAUGACUCUGGCUGCCAAAGAUUUAUCGCUCUGAGAUGGCCUCGCGUCUGAUUAGCUGGUUGGCGGGGUAACGGCCCACCAAGGCGACGAUCAGUAGCCGGACUGAGAGGUUGGCCGGCCACAUUGGGACUGAGACACGGCCCAGACUCCUACGGGAGGCAGCAGUGGGGAAUAUUGGGCAAUGGGCGCAAGCCUGACCCAGCAACGCCGCGUGAAGGAAGAAGGCCCUCGGGUUGUAAACUUCUUUUGUCAGGGACGAAGCAAGUGACGGUACCUGACGAAUAAGCCACGGCUAACUACGUGCCAGCAGCCGCGGUAAUACGUAGGUGGCAAGCGUUAUCCGGAUUUACUGGGUGUAAAGGGCGUGUAGGCGGGAUUGCAAGUCAGAUGUGAAAACCACGGGCUCAACCUGUGGCCUGCAUUUGAAACUGCAGUUCUUGAGUACUGGAGAGGCAGAUGGAA
rnacentral:rRNA from 1 species